AAAGAUUUACAGUUCAUAUAAGGACAUCAGUCAAUUUAAAUAAAUUCAUUAGGCCCUAAUCUAUGGAUUUCACUUGACUGGGAAUACAGAUAUGUUUCUGUUGGUCACAGAUACCUUAAAAAAAAGUAGGGGGCGUGGAUCAGAAAACCAGUCAGUAUCUGGUGUCACCACCAUUUGCUUCAUGCAGCGUGACAUUUCCUUCGUUUAGAGUUGAUCAGGCUGUUGAUUGUGGCCUGUGGAAUCUUGUCCCUCUCCUCAUCAAUGGCUGUGUGAAGUUGCUGAAUAUUGGCGGGAACUGGAACACGCUGUUGUACACGUCGAUCCAGAGCAUCUUAAACAUUCUAAAUGGGUGACACGUCUGGUGAGUACACAGGCCAUGGAAGAACUGGGACAUUUUCAGCUUCCAGGAAUUGUGCGACAUGGAUUGCAUUAUCAUGCUGAAACAUGAGGUGAUGGUGACGGGAGAAUGACACGACAAUGGGCCUCAGGAUCUCGUCACGGUGUCUCUGCAUUCAAAUUGCCAUAGAUAAAAUGCAAUUGUGUUUGUUGUCCGUAGCUUAUGCCUGCCCAUACCAUAACCCCACCGCCACCAUGGGGCACUCUGUUCACAAUGUUGACAUCAGCAAACCGCUCGCCCACACGACGCCAUACACGCCGUCUACCAUCUGCCCAGUACAGUUGAAACUGUGAUUCAUCCGUGAAGAGCACACUUCUCCAGCGGGCCAGUGGCCAUCGAAGGUGAGCAUUUUACCACUAAAGUCCAUUACGACGCAGAACUGCAGUCAGGCCAAGACCCUGGUGAGGACGACGAGCAUGCAGAUGAGCUUCCCUGAGACGGUUUCUGACAGUUUGUGCAGAAAUUCUUCGGUUGUGCAAACCCACAGUUUCAUCAAUUGUCCAGUUAGCUGCUUGCAGACGAUGAAGAAGCCAGAUGGGGAGUUCCUGGACUGGCGUGGUUACACUUGGUCUGUGAUUGUGAUGCCAGUUGGACAUGCUGGCAAAAUCUCAAAAACUAUGUUGGAGGUGGCUUAUGGUAGAGCUAUGAACAUUCAAUUCUCUGUCAACAGCUGUGAACAUUCCUGCAGUCAUCAUGCCAAUUGCACGCUCCCUCAAAACUUGAGACAUCGUGGCAUUGUGUUGUGUGACAAAACUUCACAUUUUAGAGUGGCCAUUUAUUGUCCCCGGCACAAGGUGCACCUGUGUAAUGAUCAUGCUUUUUAAUCAGCUUAUUGAUAUGCCACACCUGCCAGGUAGAUGGAUUAUCUUGGCAAAAGAGAAAUGCUCACUAAAAGAGAUGUAAACAAAUUUGUGCACAGCAUUUGAGAGAAAUAAGCUUUUGGUGUGCAUGGAAAAAUUCUGGGCUGUUUUAUUUCAACUCAUUAAACAUGGGACUCAC
rnacentral:lncRNA from 1 species